GUGCGUGCUUCUAUCUCCUCAAAGCUUUGUAACUGAUCAGCGGUGGCACCUCAACCACUUAGCAUUUUCUAUAUGUCCUUGUAUAUUCUCAAAGCUUUGUAACAGACACAUUAUUCUUUCAAUUCACCAUUCCCCUGAUCUUUCUAAUUCCCACAUUUCAUCCUCUUUCUUUCACACUCUCUUUAGAGCCGCAAUGUCACUCCAAGGCUUACGGUUCAGCCACAACUGUGCGAACCCCUCACCAAUCUUUUGUAGCGUUGCUCACCAUCACCCACUGUCCAAUCCAUCGAUCUCUCCCCCACAACGACUGGGAAAAACUCACGGCAAGGGAAAAAGUCUCUGAAACUCAUUUGCAGUAUGUAUGUCUCUAUUUCUCUCUACUGCAGCUUCUUCAAAAUCCUCUUCUUGAUCUGCUUCUACUCUUUAGUGGUUCAUGAAUCAUGAUAAGCUUGGCAUUGCAGCACUAUUGAUGAAUUCACAAAUCAGUUUGGUCCUCUAGAGAAAAUGGAAAGAGUGAGUCUGUUAUGUCACUUGAUACAAACCAUGUUUUCCUUCCAAGAUACAUUUGUCCCACCUUUGAAUAUGGCCUCCAUAGAUUAAGGAGCAAGAUAGAGAGGUUAAAGAGACGCAUGGAGAUGGUUGCCAAGAAACCGGAUAUGGAAAUUGCACAUAUGGUAGAGAUGCUUCAAUGUCUUGGUUCAUCUAAUGAUGUGUUAUUUUGACAUAGUAUUUGAGGUUAGAGGACAUGGAAAGAAUAUAGAAAUGUUCCCCUUAGAUUCUGGUUCUGCAAUACUAACAAUUCAGAAGCCUUCUAUUCUGCACCCCCCCCCCCCCCCAAUUCAAGGAACUUUUAAGUAGACAAAAAUCCAUGUCACGAUGCACCCAACAACAAAUAAACCAAAGACCCCAGUAAGACCCAGAAGAUUGAGCAAAAAGGGGAACAUAGAAGUGAUGAUCAAGGUGCUGAUCCAGUAUGUAAGGGAACAUAUAGAAAUGCAGAUUCCGCGAACACUUGUUGGAAAGAUUUCAGAACAUAAGAUGUUUGGAAUCACACCAAGGCCCAUGCAGAAGCAGCUUUCGUAUACCAUAACACUUACAGCAGUGAUAGCUGCAUUGAGGAUAGGACUCAUGCGAAACAAGUCUCGGAGUACUAGUACCAUGAGAGACACUAUCAAAAUUGGUACUGUGUAUAGAAGUAUUGACCUGCCAUGAGAAAAUAAGGAACGGAUACAAGACUAAAGGAAAUUCAAGCUAUGUCUCAGUAUAAACAUAUAUACCUCCUUCCUGCAACAUCCAUUAGCCUCAUGGAAAUAGCUAUACAAGGAAGCAUGGAGAAUGUUGUGAUGACAUUUACGAGUAGUGUAGCGGAUGUUGAACUAAUGCCCAAAUUUGACAAAAGUGCCCCUACUCCUGCUUCCUCAAGAAUCUGGGGAGCAUAGUAUAGAAAUCCAUUUAUGCCAGAA